rnacentral:rRNA from 1 species
UACGUAGGGGGCAAGCGUUGUCCGGAAUCAUUGGGCGUAAAGCGCGUGUAGGCGGCCAGAAAAGUCCGCUGUGAAAACUCGAGGCUCAACUUCGAGCUGUCGGUGGAAACUUUCUGGCUAGAGUCCGGAAGAGGAGAAUGGAAUUCCUGGUGUAGAGGUGAAAUUCGUAGAUAUUCGCAAGAACACCAGUGGCGAAGGCGGCUCACUGGCCCGAUACUGACGCUGAGGUGCGAAAGCGUGGGGAGCAAACAGG